AUUGAACGCUGGCGGCAGGCCUAACACAUGCAAGUCGAACGAGUGGCGGACGGGUGAGUAAUGUCUGGGAACCUGCCUGAUGGAGGGGGAUAACUACUGGAAACGGUAGCUAAUACCGCAUACCAUCGGAUGUGCCCAGAUGGGAUUAGCUAGUAGGUGGGGUAAAGGCUCACCUAGGCGCCGAUCCCUAGCUGGUCUGAGAGGAUGACCAGCCAGACUGGAAGUGAGACACGGUCCAGACUCCUACGGGAGGCAGCAGUGGGGAAUAUUGCACAAGGGGCGCAAGCCUGAUGCAGCCAAGCCGCGUGUAUGAAGAAGGCCUUCGGGUUGUAAAGGACUUUCAGCUGGGAGGCGUUAUCCGCAGAAGAAGCACCGGCUAACUCCGUGCCAGCAGCCGCGGUAAUAC
rnacentral:rRNA from 1 species